AACGAACGCUGGCGGCAGGCUUAACACAUGCAAGUCGAGCGCCCCGCCAGGGGAGCGGCAGCCGGGUGAGUAACGCGUGGGAACGUACCUUUUGGUUCGGAACAACUCCGGGACACUGGAGCUAAUACCGGAUAAGCCCUAACGGGGAAAGAUUUAUCGCCGAAAGAUCGGCCCGCGUCUGAUUAGCUAGUUGGUGAGGUAACGGCUCACCAAGGCGACGAUCAGUAGCUGGUCUGAGAGGAUGAUCAGCCACACUGGGACUGAGACACGGCCCAGACUCCUACGGGAGGCAGCAGUGGGGAAUAUUGGACAAUGGGCGCAAGCCUGAUCCAGCCAUGCCGCGUGAGUGAUGAAGGCCUUAGGGUUGUAAAGCUCUUUUGUCCGGGAAGAUAAUGACUGUACCGGAAGAAUAAGCCCCGGCUAACUUCGUG
rnacentral:rRNA from 1 species